rnacentral:rRNA from 1 species
CCUACGGGAGACAGCAGUGAGGAAUAUUGGUCAAUGGACGCAAGUCUGAACCAGCCAAGUAGCGUGCAGGAUGACGGCCCUACGGGUUGUAAACUGCUUUUGUACGGGGAUAAACGCCUACACGUGUGCCUGUCUGAAGGUAUCGUACGAAUAAGGGUCGGCUAAUUCCGCGCCAGCAGCCGCGGUAAUACGGAGGGCCCGGGCGUUAUCCGGAUUUAUUGGGGUUAAAGGGGGCGUAGGCGGGCGGUUAAGUUAGAGGUGAAAUCGCGCGGCUCAACCGCGGAAUGGCAUCUGAAACUGGACGCCUUGAGUGCACAAACGGCAGGCGGAAUGCAUGGUGUAGCGGUGAAAUGCUUAGAUAUCAUGAAGAACCCCGAUUGCGAAGGCAGCUUGCCGGGGUGCGACUGACGCUGAGGCUCGAAAGUGCGGGUAUCAAACAGGAUUAGAUACCCGGGUAGUC